UAGUCCACGCCGUAAACGAUGGAUACUAGCUGUUCGGAACUUGUUCUGAGUGGCUAAGCGAAAGUGAUAAGUAUCCCACCUGGGGAGUACGUUCGCAAGAAUGAAACUCAAAGGAAUUGACGGGGGCCCGCACAAGCGGUGGAGCAUGUGGUUUAAUUCGAUGAUACGCGAGGGAACCUUACCAGGGCUUAAAUGUAGAGUGACAGAUUUGGAAACAGAUUUUUCUCGGACACUUUACAAGGUGCUGCAUGGUUGUCGUCAGCUCGUGCCGUGAGGUGUCAGGUUAAGUCCUAUAACGAGCGCAACCCCUGUUGUUAGUUGCCAGCACAUUAUGGUGGGAACUCUAACAAGACUGCCGGUGCAAACCGUGAGGAAGGUGGGGAUGACGUCGAAAUCAUCACGGCCCUUACGUCCUGGGCUACACACGUGCUACAAUGUAGGUACAGAGAGCAGCCACUGCGUGAGCAGGAGCGAAUCUAUAAAACCGGUCACAGUUCGGAUCGGGGUCUG
rnacentral:rRNA from 1 species